UACAUGUGGGGCAAGCGUUGUCCGGAAUCAUUGGGCGUAAAGCGCGCGUAGGCGGCCCGGUAAGUCCGCUCUGAAAGUCCAGGGCUUAACCCUGGAAAGCGGGUGGAUACUGCCGGGCUUGAAUCCGGAAGAGGCGAGUGGAAUUCCUGGUGUAGCGGUGGAAUGCGCAGAUAUCAGGAGGAACACCAAUAGCGAAGGCAGCUCGCUGGGACGGUAUUGACGCUAAGGCGCGAAAGCGUGGGGAGCAAACAGG
rnacentral:rRNA from 1 species